rnacentral:rRNA from 1 species
UUANNAUGCAGUCGAACGGUAGCAGGAAGGAAGCUUGCUUUCUUUGCUGACGAGUGGCGGACGGGUGAGUAAUGCUUGGGAAUCUGGCUUAUGGAGGGGGAUAACUGCGGGAAACUGCAGCUAAUACCGCGUAAAGUCUUUGGACUAANGGGGGCGUUUGCUCUUGCCAUAAGAUGAGCCCAAGUGGGAUUAGGUAGUUGGUGGGGUAAUGGCUCACCAAGCCGUCGAUCUCUAGCUGGUCUGAGAGGAUGACCAGCCACACCGGGACUGAGACACGGCCCGGACUCCUACGGGAGGCAGCAGUGGGGAAUAUUGCGCAAUGGGGGAAACCCUGACGCAGCCAUGCCGCGUGAAUGAAGAAGGCCUUCGGGUUGUAAAGUUCUUUCGGUGAUGAGGAAGGCAGUUUGGUUAAUAGCCAAGCUGAUUGACGUUAGUCACAGAAGAAGCACCGGCUAACUCCGUGCCAGCAGCCGCGGUAAUACGGAGGGUGCGAGCGUUAAUCGGAAUAACUGGGCGUAAAGGGCACGCAGGCGGAUUUUUAAGUGAGGUGUGAAAGCCCCGGGCUUAACCUGGGAAUUGCAUUUCAGACUGGGAAUCUAGAGUACUUUAGGGAGGGGUAGAAUUCCACGUGUAGCGGUGAAAUGCGUAGAGAUGUGGAGGAAUACCGAAGGCGAAGGCAGCCCCUUGGGAAUGUACUGACGCUCAUGUGCGAAAGCGUGGGGAGCAAACAGGAUUAGAUACCCUGGUAGUCCACGCUGUAAACGCUGUCGAUUUGGGGGUUGGGGUUUAACUCUGGCGCCCGUAGCUAACGUGAUAAAUCGACCGCCUGGGGAGUACGGCCGCAAGGUUAAAACUCAAAUGAAUUGACGGGGGCCCGCACAAGCGGUGGAGCAUGUGGUUUAAUUCGAUGCAACGCGAAGAACCUUACCUACUCUUGACAUCCAGAGAAUCCUGUAGAGAUACGGGAGUGCCUUCGGGAGCUUUGAGACAGGUGCUGCAUGGCUGUCGUCAGCUCGUGUUGUGAAAUGUUGGGUUAAGUCCCGCAACGAGCGCAACCCUUAUCCUUUGUUGCCAGCGAUUAGGUCGGGAACUCAAAGGAGACUGCCGGUGAUAAACCGGAGGAAGGUGGGGAUGACGUCA